rnacentral:tRNA from 1 species
GCAUCCAUAGCUCAGAUGGAUAGAGUACUCGGCUACGAACCGAGCGGUCGGAGGUUCGAAUCCUCCUGGAUGCGCCA